ACCUGUCGCGCAAAGGAUAGUGCGUUGGACUUUUAAUUCAAAGGUCGUGAGUUCGGAUCCCACCUGGGGUG